rnacentral:tRNA from 1 species
GUUGAAGUACAUAGUGGUGGUUUGUAGGCCAUAAGUCCCCAGUCAUUUUUGAGUGGGGA